CUGCGCUUUGUGCCCUUCCCAGGUCCGAGUAGCUCAGGAGUUUGGCGAGCGCAAUCACCGCGGCUUGUCACCUUUUCCGCCGCUGCCGCUCAGCUCUCUGGGUGGACCGCUGGCGCACCCCGUGAGGCAGACUGUGACUGUCCAGCACCCCCAGAAGUCUUAGCAAAGGAGCCUGCUUGCAGUUAGCAUCGGAGUCUUUUUCAAUGAGUCAGUUCUUCAUACCAGGUGGCCAAAGUAUUUGAGCUUCAGCUUCAGCACCAGUCCUUCCAAUGAAUAUUCAGGACUGAUUUCCUUUAGGAUAGACUGUUUUGAUUUCUUUGCAGUCCAAGAGACUCUCAAGCGUCUUCUCCAACAUCACAAUUCAAAAGCAUCAAUUCUUUGCACUCAGCUUUCUUUAUGGAUAAAACUGGAUAAACUGAAUUAAAGAAAAGUAAAUUGACUGGCUCAAGACUACCCAGAUGGAAAGCAGCAAAUUCAAAUCUAGGUAGUCUGGUUGCAAAGUUCCCUGCUCUCAACUUAUAGCAAGCAUACACUCAGAAAAUAUAACUUCUCCCUGGUGUGUUUGCCUCUGAAUUUUGGAGCAGCUGAAAAGACCUCACAGUCACCGUGUCUAUCACAGCACAGAGGUAAGAGGCAAAGUCUUUCAUGUGGAGUUCCUUCAGAAGGAGGUAACUGUGUGCAUCAGAGCGUCUAAGGAAUGAAGAAAAAUGACCUCUCGUCUCCAAACCAUCCAAAACAUUGUAAGAGAGAAACACAGGUGCUCCACCAUCAUGUUGCUGGUACCAGAACAGUCCAUUGAACCCAGAUGUCUGGUAGGUGCAGUUGACCUGGGCAGAGGCUCCUUCCAUAGCCGUCAACUCAGUGGGCUGCUCAACGCCUUUUCCUGCAGAGCCUAUGAGAAGAUGCAUGACCAUUAUCAAGGUAGCACUCCAGGAAACCACAUCAUUAUUAAAGAGGAUAGUUCUCACAUGGUCACAAAAAAACACUGCCUUUGAUGGAGGAGUUCCUUAGGUAGAAAUAAAUGCUGGUAGAAAGACAUGGGACAAGGAUGAGGAUGGGGAUGAGGACAAUUAGCACCACUAAUAUGUUUGGGGAAAGACUCUUUCAUUACAAAAGUUAGGAGUUGCCAUCAUUUAUCUGGAAGAAAAUUAUUCUGAAAGUUCCUGGUAAUGUUUGCUAAUAAUUUGAGACUUACCUCUCACUGUCAGGGAAACACAAAGAAGGAAAAAAUUCCACAUCUGCUGCAGGACACCACAAACCAGGCACUGCAUCCUCCGCACCUGUGCCCCUGGAGCCAAAAGAAGGUGGGUUCCCUCCCUGUGGUUGAGGGAGGAAAUCUCAAUCUGGAUGCAAAACCCAGAAGACAACGCAGCGGGUGGAGCUUUCUUGAAGGACUGAGCUUCCGUGGGAGCACUUUCAGGAGUGUCUUCACGUGAACUUUUUCUACUGAUGAAUCCACAGGUAUUAAUCCAUGUGAUUUUGUGAAUAUCAAACAAUAAAAUUGUGUAUAAAGAACA
ensembl:lncRNA